ACCAGGAUGGCCAAGUGGUUAAGGCGUUGGACUUAAGUUCCAAUGUACAAAUGUACGCGUGGGUUCGAACCCCACUCCUGGUA
rfam:Nematostella vectensis strain CH2 x CH6 NEMVEscaffold_350_Cont24649, whole genome shotgun sequence.